GUUUUACAAACAAUUUAAAAUGUGUCUGCUAGUUGGUAGUACGGCUCAAGUCCAGCCUCAAGUUACAUAGAUAUUUUCAUUUCUAGACAUUGGUCAGGUAACAGGAUUUCUGAAAUAGAAAAUGGGGACAUUAGCUAGUUCAGUGGUCAAAAUACCAAAAGUCACUUGUUAUUGUCUAUGAACUAUCAGCAACAUUUAAAAUUGUGUGUAAAACAAUUCUGCAUGGUGUUCAAGCCUUGUUAUUUUGAACAUACAAACAGUAUUAC